rnacentral:sRNA from 1 species
GGAUGUGAGGGCGAUCUGGCUGCGACAUCUGUCACCCCAUUGAUCGCCAGGGUUGAUUCUGCUGAUCUGGCUAGCUAGGCGGGUGUCCCCUUCCUCCCUCACCGCUCCAUGUGCGUCCCUCCCGAAGCUGCGCGCUCGGUCGAAGAGAACGACCUUCCCCGAUAGAGGAGAGGACCGUUCUUCGGUCAAGGGUAUAUGAGUAGCUGCGCUCCCCUGCUAGAACCUCCAAACAAGCUCUCAAGAGUCUAAAAGUCUCUUAUGCCUUCUUUCCCUCAAUCUUU